CGUUUAGUCUCACGGUAGAGUAGAGGACUGAAAAUCCUCGUCUCACCAGUUCAAAUCUGGUACCUAGAGGA